CGAAUCUUUGCAUAAGCGAUGGGAUAUAAUUUGUGCAGUGUGGUAGUUAGCUAGUUUUGGUUAAAUUCACUUGUUAGUUUUUUUCUUCUUUCUGUCCUCUUUCUUUUUUCUUUUCCUUUUACAUUCCUUUCCUUCUUCCCCAUUUCUUUUUACUGUUUUCUUUUUCUUUGCAUUUUCUUUUCACCUGCAUUCGUGUAAUCACCUUUGCUCUUAUGCGUUGCUCAUUGUCGGAUUGUACUGUCAUAAGGUUGAUUGUAAUUGUCAGAGGUAAGGUUCAAAC
rnacentral:lncRNA from 1 species